rnacentral:tRNA from 1 species
GCGGCUGUGGUUUAAGGGUAAAAUCAGCGCUUCCCACGAGAUAGAGUUGUUGACUCCGCUCAGAUGCUCCGAAUUGCGCUGGCUCCGGGUUCGAGUCCCGGCGGCCGCA